UACGGAGGGUGCGAGCGUUGUCCGGAAUUAUUGGGCGUAAAGCGCGCGCAGGUGGUCCUUUAAGUCUGAUGUGAAAGCCCACGGCUCAACCGUGGAGGGUCAUUGGAAACUGGGGGACUUGAGUGCAGGAGAGAAGAGUGGAAUUCCACGUGUAGCGGUGAAAUGCGUAGAGAUGUGGAGGAACACCGGUGGCGAAGGCGGCUACCUGGACAGAAACUGACGCUGAGGCGCGAAAGCUAGGGGAGCAAACAGG
rnacentral:rRNA from 1 species